rnacentral:lncRNA from 1 species
GUGAGAAUGUGGUCACCUUGACACAGCAACCAUAUGAUUAAGGGCAUGGUCUAAAAUUUCCCUUUCAUUCCACAUGGCACAUGGAGGUUGGAAUGAUUUUACAUGUUUUCAUUUUUUGUUCUAUGUUUUAUUUUAAAACUACAUAAGCAGCCAUCUUUGAUGCAAUGUCCAUGCUCAGUAGACACCCUUGAAUGAAUGAAUGAAGAGCACAGAACCCAGAUUCCAAAAGGUGAAUUAAUUUUGGAGCCAAAGCCAAAAGCAAGACCAACAGGAAGCCUAGGGUGUGAGAAAAGCAUUUUUAAAAACUGGUGAUUG